CACGUAGGGCGCAAGCGUUGUCCGGAAUUAUUGGGCGUAAAGAGCUCGUAGGCGGUCUGUUGCGUCUGCUGUGAAAACUCGGGGCUUAACCCCGAGCCUGCAGUGGAUACGGGCAGACUAGAGGUAGGUAGGGGAGAAUGGAAUUCCCGGUGUAGCGGUGAAAUGCGCAGAUAUCAGGAGGAACACCGGUGGCGAAGGCGGGUCUCUGGGCCGAUGUUGACGCUGAGGAGCGAAAGCGUGGGGAGCGAACAGG
rnacentral:rRNA from 1 species